rnacentral:rRNA from 1 species
AUUGAACGCUGGCGGCAUGCCUUACACAUGCAAGUCGAACGGCAGCGGGCCUUCGGGUGCCGGCGAGUGGCGAACGGGUGAGUAAUGCAUCGGAACGUGCCAUUGAGUGGGGGAUAACGUAGCGAAAGUUACGCUAAUACCGCAUAUUCUGUGAGCAGGAAAGCAGGGGACCGCAAGGCCUUGCGCUCUUUGAGCGGCCGAUGUCAGAUUAGCUAGUUGGUGAGGUAAAGGCUUACCAAGGCGACGAUCUGUAGCGGGUCUGAGAGGAUGAUCCGCCACACUGGAGCUGAGACACGGUCCAGACUCCUACGGGAGGCAGCAGUGGGGAAUUUUGGACAAUGGGCGCAAGCCUGAUCCAGCCAUGCCGCGUGAGUGAAGAAGGCC